rnacentral:lncRNA from 1 species
CCCAUCAACAAAUUCAACUUUAAGGACAGCAAGUUCAAUAGAGCAUGCACUGAACUAAACGAUAACACAUGUGACAGGUGUACCUAUAGAUGACAGAGAACAAAUACAAUGUUUUAUUAAAUCACAGAAUAUGCUUCCAUCUGAUGGUCGAUUCUCCAUCAAGUUUCCAUCAUUUUACAUGUAAUGGAAAAUAUUCCAUCAGUUAAAAUGUUCCAUCAAUUAUCCAUCAGAUGGCAAAAAUACCAUCAAUUAUCCAUCAGAUGGAAAUUAUGCCAUCAGUUUUCCAUCAAACAAUUUCCAUCAACCAUUUUCCAGCAUUGAUGGAAAGUUGAUGGAAAGUUGUU